rnacentral:rRNA from 1 species
UGAAAACCACCCGCCCCAUUGGCGAUGCGAUAGUCCCCCUCCACCUCCGCCUCCACCACCGCCCGCCCCCCGCCCCUCGGGCUCGCCGCCGUCGCCGCUGCCCCCUUCUUCCUCGCCAGGACAUCGCGCGCCGCUGUCUCCGCCCCGCCCCCGCCGGAAAGUUCGAGUCUUUGGCUGGCCGGCCGGCCGGCCGUCCGCCCCCUCUGACUGGUUGAUUGAGAUCCGCGCCCAGAGCCGCAGAAUCGCGCAUGAUCUAGCAAUGGAGCCGUCGGAUCUGAACACGCACCUGCCGCCGCGGAAGCGGCUGCUGGCGGGGCUCCGGACGGCGGCCGCGGCCUCCCCCUGCGACGCCGCCAGGCUCGAGGCCGCGCCCGAGCCGCCCUUGCUCCUGCCCGACGGCCUCGCCGCCCGCCUCCGCGCCAUGCCGCCGGCCAGCACGCAGCAGGAGAUCAUCCAGGCCGCCCAGCGCGCGGCCGACGCUGCCGCCGACGCCGCGGCCGCCGCCCGGGCGGCUGCCGUCGACAAGGCGGCUGUGGCCGCCAGGGCUAGGGCUGCGGCCAGGGCUGCCAUGGAGUUCCUCGACUCCCUCUGCAUCGCUGGCGCGUCCAGAAAUGGGAUCCAGCUGCUCAAACCGAAAUCCAAGAAGAAACAUGUGCAGGUCAAGCUCCUGUACAGGCCGCCGUCGUCCAAUGGCCGGGCGAUCGAGGGGGCAGAGGAUGCUGUUGGUGGUGAUGUCACUCCCAGGCCGCAUCGUCGGCGCAGGGAGAGCGACGAGGAGGUCGCUCGCAAGCUGCACCGCGUGAUGAAUAGCUCGCCCCGGAUUUCCUUCACUGGACCCAAGAGACCCCGCGGUAUCGCCGAUGGGAAAGACGGGUUCCAUAGUGAUGGGGGUGGGGGUGAUGCUUGCAAUGGUUCCUCGACGCACACGCCAACUGAGGUUGGUUUCGUUAACGGAGGAAGCUCUGUUGGGAAAUCCGGUGAGAGAACUAUCCACUCUUCCAAGAUUAGGGCUCCGGGGGAUGAUGGUGAAGAGUAUCCUUGGAACACUGCAAAGAGCAGUAGGCACAUUGUUAAUAAUGGAGAUGGAAUUGGAAACCUAAGCGCUGGUCGGAAAGUGAAGAUCAAGAGGAAGCAGCUGUUUUUGAACCACCAUUCUAACGGUGAACAGAGAGAAGAGCAUAAACAAGAAACAGAGCAAUCCAGAGACCCUCCCACAGGAUACUGCAAUGAGCUCAAGUCCAAAGGCGCAGAAAAGCGACCUGGUUUCGCAGACGACGCAAGGGCAGCAGCACCUGGUGGCGGCGAUGAUCCCGCGCUGACCAAGAUCACGUCCGUGUGGAAGUUCAAGAAGUUCAAACCGGCGUCGUCGUCGCACUGCUCCUCCGACAGCAAGAUGUUGUGUUCCUCCAGUUCCGCGGCUGAAACCUCUGCUUCCGUGAAGGCUGAUUAGUGAGAGAGAAAAAGUCCAUACAAAACCGAAGAGUAUGCUGGCUCCGGUGCCAACUUCGAGGAACUUCACCAAAGUAUAUCUGCGAUGCAGAGAAGAACAAGUCAUAUUUGUUAUAGAUGUGGAGAUGAUGAGAUUGGUGUGAAGAAAUUAACCUCUCAAAGUUUAAUGCUGAAGCGAAGCAUUUUGAUCGGAGUUGUCCGAAGAAAUUGAUUGCAGAGUAAUGGAAGUCGAAGACAAAUUCAAGACGUAGUAUUGUUUUCGUUGUUCUUCUUUCAUUCAUUUGAGUCAUAGGACCUCCAUACUAUUAAGAGG